UACAGAGACUGCAAGCGUUAUUCGGAUUCACUGGGCGUAAAGGGUGCGCAGGCGGUCGGGUGUGUCAGAUGUGAAAUCCCGAGGCUCAACCUCGGAACUGCGUCUGAAACUACUCGACUAGAGUACUGGAGAGGGUAACGGAAUUCACGGUGUAGCAGUGAAAUGCGUAGAUAUCGUGAGGAACACCAGAGGCGAAGGCGGUUACCUGGACAGUUACUGACGCUCAGGCACAAAAGCAUGGGGAGCAAAAGGG
rnacentral:rRNA from 1 species